rnacentral:rRNA from 1 species
CCUACGGGAGGCAGCAGUAGGGAAUAUUGCUCAAUGGGGGAAACCCUGAAGCAGCAACGCCGCGUGGAGGAUGAAGGUUUUCGGAUUGUAAACCUCUUUUGUCAGGGAACAAAGGCGGGGACUAGUCCCCGGAUGAGGGUACCUGAAGAAAAAGCAUCGGCUAACUCCGUGCCAGCAGCCGCGGUAAUACGGAGGAUUCAAGCGUUAUCCGGAUUUAUUGGGUUUAAAGGGUGCGUGGGCGGUCCGGAAAGUCAGCGGUAAAAGCCCGGGGCGCAACCCCGGCGAGCCGUUGAAACUGUCGGACUAGAGACGGCGAGAAGUACGCGGAAUGCGCGGUGUAGCGGUGAAAUGCAUAGAUAGCGCGAAGAACUCCGAUUGCGAAGGCAGCGUACCGGCGCCGGACUGACGCUGAGGCACGAAAGCGUGGGUAUCGAACAGGAUUAGAUACCCUAGUAGUC